CGCCGUUGACGACCUAUGAACCGCCACCGGCAAUAUAACCCUUUCUGAUCGCGAGUCGUGCCGCCUUCGGACACUUGAACACUCUCGAUGUCUCGAUCUUUUCUUUAGCAGGACAUCAACUAGAACUUAGCGCGAGUGAUCUAACGUUUAAACUUUCAAACCUCCUGGUGAUACUUGUAGCUUAAAAACUUUUAGUGUGCUUAUAGCUGUUCACUGGAUACGUCCAAGUUUCAAUUUUUUUAUCUCGUCUGGAGUUAAAAAGAGGCUGUUUGGAUCGAUGGUUUCCGAAGCGAAUUGUCACUAGUCUUUACAAUUUAGCCAGAUUGUAAUUAUUUUAUCUAUUUUGGUAUCUCACCCUUUGACAACAGGUGAGCUUCAAAACUGACUAGUGGCCAACGGUUUUCUUCCUGGAAUAUUCUUAGUCAUUUAGAUGAGUUGCGCAUUUCUUACCUACUUCAGCCCUGAGAGCGCCCUCAACGCCCAGAACGCUCUGCAUGAGAAGCACACUUUGCCAGGGGUAAGUUCACCAAUGUUAAACUAUAAAUUAUGAGCAAGGUAAGAUUUUCUGUAAAACACUUUAAAUGGAUAGAGCUAAAGCAUUUUAAGUUAAUUUGUAUAUUCAUAAAAUAAAAUAUUAAAUAUAAAUUUAACACAUAUUCAAACCCAAUCUUUUAAGUGCUUUGAAUAUCACAAUAUCACUAAUGUCUUUUCAAAACAUACUAAAGAUUUUACUUUUACUUUACUUCAGCAGAUCCAACCACACGAAAA
rnacentral:misc_RNA from 1 species